AACGAACGCUGGCGGCAGGCUUAACACAUGCAAGUCGAACGCCCCGCAAGGGGAGUGGCAGACGGGUGAGUAACGCGUGGGGACAUACCCUUUUCUACGGAAUAGCUCUGGGAAACUGGAAUUAAUACCGUAUACGCCCUACGGGGGAAAGAUUUAUCGGGGAAGGAUUGGCCCGCGUUGGAUUAGCUAGUUGGUGGGGUAAAGGCCUACCAAGGCGACGAUCCAUAGCUGGUCUGAGAGGAUGAUCAGCCACAUUGGGACUGAGACACGGCCCAAACUCCUACGGGAGGCAGCAGUGGGGAAUAUUGGACAAUGGGCGCAAGCCUGAUCCAGCCAUGCCGCGUGAGUGAUGAAGGCCUUAGGGUUGUAAAGCUCUUUCACCGAUGAAGAUAAUGACGGUAGUCGGAGAAGAAGCCCCGGCUAACUUCGUG
rnacentral:rRNA from 1 species